rnacentral:rRNA from 1 species
ACGGGAGAAAGCAGGGGAUCUUCGGACCUUGCGCUAAUAGAUGAGCCUAAGUCGGAUUAGCUAGUUGGUGGGGUAAAGGCCUACCAAGGCGACGAUCUGUAGCGGGUCUGAGAGGAUGAUCCGCCACACUGGGACUGAGACACGGCCCAGACUCCUACGGGAGGCAGCAGUGGGGAAUAUUGGACAAUGGGCGCAAGCCUGAUCCAGCCAUGCCGCGUGUGUGAAGAAGGCCUUAUGGUUGUAAAGCACUUUAAGCGAGGAGGAGGCUACUUUAGAUAAUACCUAGAGAUAGUGGACGUUACUCGCAGAAUAAGCACCGGCUAACUCUGUGCCAGCAGCCGCGGUAAUACAGAGGGUGCAAGCGUUAAUCGGAUUUACUGGGCGUAAAGCGCGCGUAGGCGGCUAAUUAAGUCAAAUGUGAAAUCCCCGAGCUUAACUUGGGAAUUGCAUUCGAUACUGGUUAGCUAGAGUGUGGGAGAGGAUGGUAGAAUUCCAGGUGUAGCGGUGAAAUGCGUAGAGAUCUGGAGGAAUACCGAUGGCGAAGGCAGCCAUCUGGCCUAACACUGACGCUGAGGUGCGAAAGCAUGGGGAGCAAACAGGAUUAGAUACCCUGGUAGUCCAUGCCGUAAACGAUGUCUACUAGCCGUUGGGGCCUUUGAGGCUUUAGUGGCGCAGCUAACGCGAUAAGUAGACCGCCUGGGGAGUACGGUCGCAAGACUAAAACUCAAAUGAAUUGACGGGGGCCCGCACAAGCGGUGGAGCAUGUGGUUUAAUUCGAUGCAACGCGAAGAACCUUACCUGGCCUUGACAUAGUAAGAACUUUCCAGAGAUGGAUUGGUGCCUUCGGGAACUUACAUACAGGUGCUGCAUGGCUGUCGUCAGCUCGUGUCGUGAGAUGUUGGGUUAAGUCCCGCAACGAGCGCAACCCUUUUCCUUAUUUGCCAGCGAGUAAUGUCGGGAACUUUAAGGAUACUGCCAGUGACAAACUGGAGGAAGGCGGGGACGACGUCAAGUCAUCAUGGCCCUUACGGCCAGGGCUACACACGUGCUACAAUGGUCGGUACAAAGGGUUGCUACCUAGCGAUAGGAUGCUAAUCUCAAAAAGCCGAUCGUAGUCCGGAUUGGAGUCUGCAACUCGACUCCAU